rnacentral:rRNA from 1 species
CAGAGUUUACAACUCCCAAACCCCUGUGAACUUACCAGUCGUUGCCUCGGCGGUGUCUUGCUUCGGCGAGCCCGCCAGAGGACCCAACAAACUCUUGUUUUUUUUUAGUAUUAUCUGAGUGACAAGUUUAAUAAAUCAAAACUUUCAACAACGGAUCUCUUGGUUCUGGCAUCGAUGAAGAACGCAGCGAAAUGCGAUAAGUAAUGUGAAUUGCAGAAUUCAGUGAAUCAUCGAAUCUUUGAACGCACAUUGCGCCCGCCAGUAUUCUGGCGGGCAUGCCUGUUCGAGCGUCAUUUCAACCCUCAAACCCCCGGGUUUGGUGUUGGAGAUCGGCAUGAGUCCUUCGGGGCGACGCCGUCUCCCAAAUAUAGUGGCGGUCUCGCUGUAGCUUCCUAUGCGUAGUAGCACACCUCGCACUGGAAAGCAGCGCGG